UGAUAUGCAGCUACCUUGGGGCUAGACC
rnacentral:piRNA from 1 species